rnacentral:rRNA from 1 species
CAUGGUUGUCGUCAGCUCGUGUCGUGAGAUGUUGGUUAAGUCCCGCAACGAGCGCAACCCCUAUUGUUAGUUGCCAUCAUUCAGUUGGGCACUCUAGCGAGACUGCCGGUAAUAAACCGGAGGAAGGUGGGGAUGACGUCAAAUCAUCAUGCCCCUUAUGACCUGGGCUACACAUGUGCUACAAUGGUUGGUACAACGAGUUGCGAGUCGGUGACGGCGAGCUAAUCUCUUAAAGCCAAUCUCAGUUCGGAUUGUAGGCUGCAACUCGCCUACAUGAAGUCGGAAUCGCUAGUAAUCGCGGAUCAGCACGCCGCGGUGAAUACGUUCCCGGGCCUU